CCUACGGGAGGCAGCAGUGGGGAAUAUUGCACAAUGGGCGAAAGCCUGAUGCAGCAACGCCGCGUGAGCGAUGAAGGCCUUCGGGUCGUAAAGCUCUGUCCUCAAGGAAGAUAAUGACGGUACUUGAGGAGGAAGCCCCGGCUAACUACGUGCCAGCAGCCGCGGUAAUACGUAGGGGGCUAGCGUUAUCCGGAAUUAUUGGGUUUAAAGGGUGCGCAGGCGGUCUGUUAAGUCAGCGGUCAAAGCCCGGGGCUCAACCCCGGCCCGCCGUUGAAACUGGCAGUCUCGAGUUGGAGAGAAGUAUGCGGAAUGCGCGGUGUAGCGGUGAAAUGCAUAGAUAUCGCGCAGAACUCCGAUUGCGAAGGCAGCAUGCCGGCUCCACACUGACGCUGAGGCACGAAAGCGUGGGUAUCGAACAGGAUUAGAGACCCUGGUAGUC
rnacentral:rRNA from 1 species